UAUGCUUAGCCGUAAACCAUGAUAUCUAAAAUACAACUGAUAUCCGCCAGGGUACUACGAGCACUAGCUUAAAACCCAAAGGACUUGGCGGUUUUUCAGAUCCCCCUAGAGGAGCCUGUCCUAUAACCGAUAAUCCCCGUUAAACCUCACCACCCCUUGUUAAUCCCGUUUAUAUACCACCGUCGCCAGCUUACCCUGUGAAGGUUUAAUAGUAAGCAAAACGGGCACAGCCCAGAACGUCAGGUCGAGGUGUAGUGUAUGGGGUGGGAAGAGAUGGGCUACAUUUCCUAAACUAGGACACCACGGACAACACUAUGAAAUACAGUACCCGAAGGUGGAUUUAGCAGUAAGAAGAAAGCAGAGUGUUCUUCUGAAGUAGGCUCUGAGAUGCGU
rnacentral:rRNA from 1 species